UGAGGCGAACCGGGGGAACUGAAACAUCUAAGUACCCCGAGGAAAAGAAAUCAACCGAGAUUCCCCCAGUAGCGGCGAGCGAACGGGGAGGAGCCCAGAGCCUGAAUCAGUGUGUGUGUUAGUGGAAGCGUCUGGAAAGGCGUGCGAUACAGGGUGACAGCCCCGUACACAAAAAUGCACAUAUUGUGAGCUCGAUGAGUAGGGCGGGACACGUGGUAUCCUGUCUGAAUAUGGGGGGACCAUCCUCCAAGGCUAAAUACUCCUGACUGACCGAUAGUGAACCAGUACCGUGAGGGAAAGGCGAAAAGAACCCCGGCGAGGGGAGUGAAAAAGAACCUGAAACCGUGUACGUACAAGCAGUGGGAGCCUCUUAAUGGGGUGACUGCGUACCUUUUGUAUAAUGGGUCAGCGACUUAUAUUCUGUAGCAAGGUUAACCGAAUAGGGGAGCCGAAGGGAAACCGAGUCUUAACUGGGCGUUAAGUUGCAGGGUAUAGACCCGAAACCCGGUGAUCUAGCCAUGGGCAGGUUGAAGGUUGGGUAACACUAACUGGAGGACCGAACCGACUAAUGUUGAAAAAUUAGCGGAUGACUUGUGGCUGGGGGUGAAAGGCCAAUCAAACCGGGAGAUAGCUGGUUCUCCCCGAAAGCUAUUUAGGUAGCGCCUCGUGAAUUCAUCUCCGGGGGUAGAGCACUGUUUCGGCAAGGGGGUCAUCCCGACUUACCAACCCGAUGCAAACUGCGAAUACCGGAGAAUGUUAUCACGGGAGACACACGGCGGGUGCUAACGUCCGUCGUGAAGAGGGAAACAACCCAGACCGCCAGCUAAGGUCCCAAAGUCAUGGUUAAGUGGGAAACGAUGUGGGAAGGCCCAGACAGCCAGGAUGUUGGCUUAGAAGCAGCCAUCAUUUAAAGAAAGCGUAAUAGCUCACUGGUCGAGUCGGCCUGCGCGGAAGAUGUAACGGGGCUAAACCAUGCACCGAAGCUGCGGCAGCGACACUAUGUGUUGUUGGGUAGGGGAGCGUUCUGUAAGCCUGUGAAGGUGGCCUGUGAGGGUUGCUGGAGGUAUCAGAAGUGCGAAUGCUGACAUAAGUAACGAUAAAGCGGGUGAAAAGCCCGCUCGCCGGAAGACCAAGGGUUCCUGUCCAACGUUAAUCGGGGCAGGGUGAGUCGACCCCUAAGGCGAGGCCGAAAGGCGUAGUCGAUGGGAAACAGGUUAAUAUUCCUGUACUUGGUGUUACUGCGAAGGGGGGACGGAGAAGGCUAUGUUGGCCGGGCGACGGUUGUCCCGGUUUAAGCGUGUAGGCUGGUUUUCCAGGCAAAUCCGGAAAACCAAGGCUGAGGCGUGAUGACGAGGCACUACGGUGCUGAAGCGACAAAUGCCCUGCUUCCAGGAAAAGCCUCUAAGCAUCAGGUAACAUCAAAUCGUACCCCAAACCGACACAGGUGGUCAGGUAGAGAAUACCAAGGCGCUUGAGAGAACUCGGGUGAAGGAACUAGGCAAAAUGGUGCCGUAACUUCGGGAGAAGGCACGCUGAUAUGUAGGUGAAGCGACUUGCUCGUGGAGCUGAAAUCAGUCGAAGAUACCAGCUGGCUGCAACUGUUUAUUAAAAACACAGCACUGUGCAAACACGAAAGUGGACGUAUACGGUGUGACGCCUGCCCGGUGCUGGAAGGUUAAUUGAUGGGGUCAGCCGCAAGGCGAAGCUCUUGAUCGAAGCCCCAGUAAACGGCGGCCGUAACUAUAACGGUCCUAAGGUAGCGAAAUUCCUUGUCGGGUAAGUUCCGACCUGCACGAAUGGCGUAAUGAUGGCCAGGCUGUCUCCACCCGAGACUCAGUGAAAUUGAACUCGCUGUGAAGAUGCAGUGUACCCGCGGCAAGACGGAAAGACCCCGUGAACCUUUACUAUAGCUUGACACUGAACAUUGAGCCUUGAUGUGUAGGAUAGGUGGGAGGCUUUGAAGUGUGGACGCCAGUCUGCAUGGAGCCGACCUUGAAAUACCACCCUUUAAUGUUUGAUGUUCUAACGUUGGCCCGUAAUCCGGGUUGCGGACAGUGUCUGGUGGGUAGUUUGACUGGGGCGGUCUCCUCCUAAAGAGUAACGGAGGAGCACGAAGGUUGGCUAAUCCUGGUCGGACAUCAGGAGGUUAGUGCAAUGGCAUAAGCCAGCUUGACUGCGAGCGUGACGGCGCGAGCAGGUGCGAAAGCAGGUCAUAGUGAUCCGGUGGUUCUGAAUGGAAGGGCCAUCGCUCAACGGAUAAAAGGUACUCCGGGGAUAACAGGCUGAUACCGCCCAAGAGUUCAUAUCGACGGCGGUGUUUGGCACCUCGAUGUCGGCUCAUCACAUCCUGGGGCUGAAGUAGGUCCCAAGGGUAUGGCUGUUCGCCAUUUAAAGUGGUACGCGAGCUGGGUUUAGAACGUCGUGAGACAGUUCGGUCCCUAUCUGCCGUGGGCGCUGGAGAACUGAGGGGGGCUGCUCCUAGUACGAGAGGACCGGAGUGGACGCAUCACUGGUGUUCGGGUUGUCAUGCCAAUGGCACUGCCCGGUAGCUAAAUGCGGAAGAGAUAAGUGCUGAAAGCAUCUAAGCACGAAACUUGCCCCGAGAUGAGUUCUCCCUGACUCCUUGA
rnacentral:rRNA from 1 species